GCCAUGGAGCCCGACGGGACCUACGAGCCGGGCUUCGUGGGUAUUCGCUUCUGCCAAGAAUGGUGAGGCGGAGGGAGCGGGUGAUGUUAGAAGGCGGGCGAGGAAUGGCUCCAGGACUGACCCCUGGCACCUCCCCCUCCCCACAGUAACAACAUGCUGUACCCCAAAGAAGACAAGGAGAACCGCAUUCUGCUCUACGCGGUGAGCGCCGGGGUCUUCCCCGGCAGGUCUACCUGUUCCCGGCGUGGCCCCGCCCUGCCCCCUGCCUCUGUGACUGGACUCCCUGUUCGCCCCCCGCUGCACCUCAAGUGAUCCUGACUCUCAUGUCCUGCCCAUCCCCAAAGACAGUCCUGUCGUCAUAUCCUCCGGGAUCACCCUGCCCUCUCCUCCCAGUCUUAUCUGGAAUCCUUCCGUGACCCGCUUUCCCCCACACUCGCCUUCUCGCAGUGCCGGAACUGUGAUUACCAGCAGGAGGCCGACAACAGCUGCAUCUAUGUCAACAAGAUCACUCACGAAGUGGACGAACUGACCCAGAUUAUCGCCGACGUGUCCCAGGACCCCACGUUGCCGCGGACCGAGGAC
rnacentral:sRNA from 1 species